rnacentral:rRNA from 1 species
UACGUAGGGUGCAAGCGUUAAUCGGAAUUACUGGGCGUAAAGCGUGCGCAGGCGGUUUUGUAAGUCUGACGUGAAAUCCCCGGGCUCAACCUGGGAAUUGCGUUGGAGACUGCAAGGCUGGAGUCUGGCAGAGGGGGGUAGAAUUCCACGUGUAGCAGUGAAAUGCGUAGAGAUGUGGAGGAACAUCAGUGGCGAAGGCGGCCAUCUGGGACAACACCGACGCUGAAGCACGAAAGCGUGGGGAGCAAACAGG